CAGCUGCUUCAUUCAACCUCAUCAUCUCCCGAUUCUUACAGAUUACUGCAUCAUGCCACCAAGACAAAAGGAAAGAGAAGGAGGACACGGUCAUCAAAAGCAUGUGUCCUGAAAGAAAUACUCAAUGCGACUACAUUUUUUCAUCUAACUGGCAUAGCGCUAAAGACUAUUUCUGCCAAAUACUUAGCAAUCAAAUGAAUGUAAUUAUAAGUCAUCAAAAAUUGGAUCGCACUGGUAUGUUUGUACAAGUAACAGAAGAAACUAUUGCAAAGAUCUUACUGAGCUGAGCUAAUGUCAAUCAAUUCUCAGCCGGAGAUUCAGGUGGAUACAACUAUUCCCUUCAUGUUCUGAGAGAAGAUGCUCUAUCUUCUGCACUGCUUCUUACAACACUCCGAGGAAAGAUUUUAAUACGUCUACUUCUGCCGCUGAGUACCAAGGGAAGAAUAAGAACAAAAACAAUGGUUUGAUUUUUUUUUCAGUCGUAUGGAUAAAAUCUAGUCACACUCGAACAUAACAGUGUUUUAAUCUAUCAAUU
rnacentral:lncRNA from 1 species